rnacentral:sRNA from 2 species
AAGAAUGUUUUCUAGGGUUCCGCAAAUUUAUUUGGACUGGUCCGAGAGAAAACUCACAGCGUUUGUUGUGCCACGGAAGGAUAAAAGCCUGGGAGAU